rnacentral:rRNA from 1 species
GACAGAGGGUGCAAACGUUGUUCGGAAUCACUGGGCUUAAAGCGUGUGUAGGCGGAUCGUUAAGUGUCUUGUGAAAUCCCACGGCUCACCCGUGGAACUGCUGGGCAUACUGGCGAUCUUGGGCCAACUAGGGGCAGUCGGAACAAGCGGUGGAGCGGUGAAAUGCGUAGAUAUCGCUUGGAACGCCGAAGGUGAAAAACAGACUGCUGGGGUUGCGCCGACGCUGAGACACGAAAGCCAGGGGGAGCAAACGGGG